ensembl:lncRNA
AGAAACCCCUAUUUUAUGAAGUAGUCCUCUAAGAUGACUUUUGAUUUCCUUCCUAUAGCUCGGAGAUCUUAGAUUCUAAUCUAUUUUUUUCAGUUCAUUUCUCUCCUGCUUUCAGACGUCCUGUUAACAUGCUAACCCAAUACCAAAUGUUUGCUAGCUACCCCGAUUUUGAUAUUUGUUUAAAGAGGAAGUCAUGGUCACUAUGUUUACGCAAAUAUGUGUCUCCAAAACCUCACAAGAAAUACUGGCUUUUCUUUUUUAUGAACGCGACGCCAUGGCGACGAUUCGGAGAUUGUGAUGGAUUUCAUCCUCAUUAACCAAAGGAUGAACCACACAAUCCCACGUCCACCUCACUCACUCACACCACCCUGUCUCCUGACGCCCCAAUCCCCGGGGCAAAAGUAGUCAGGCCCGCGCAGGAUACCCCAGCAGAGGCCCCCGCCACAGCCCGAGCAAAUCCCUCGUCACCGCUGGCUGCGCUUCCUCCCGUUCUGACCGGACGGGCGGCCUCUGGACCUCCUCCUCCCCUCCGGCGGGCCCCUCCUUCCUGCUCCGCGUGCUGCGUGCGGCGCUGCCGGUUCACCUCCUCCUGCUGCUGAUCCUCGGCCUCGCCUGCCUCGUGCCCAUGAGCCAGGAGGACUACAGCUGCCACCACGCCAACAACUUCGCCCGCUCCUUCCAUCCCAUGCUGAGCUACACCAACGGACCUCCGCCUAUAUGAGGCGCCUCCCCCAUCAAGGACCCCGAAGUCACCUGUACCGGGACCACACCCCCUCUAUGAGGACCGCCCCCCACGACCAUAUAUGGACCAGACAUCCGCCCAGUCCAUCGUGGCCUCUGUUCCGUGUGAGGACCGGACAGCCGCCCGUGUACGGGCAGAACUCUCCGCCCGUAUAAGGACUGUCCCUCCGCAGCUAGCUACCAGCUUUGCCAAGGACUCCGACACUCUGACUAGUAUGAAUGUUCCCUGUUCUUUCCCUGCAGGACCCCCGACUCCCACUCUCCCGACCCCAACUCCACGACCCCACCUCCCCUCCACCCCCACGCUGGGAGCAUAUGAAAUCCGAUGGAGUGUCUCCACCAGUAACACAAUGAGAACCAGUCCAUUAGAGCGUUCUGGGGCCAGUUGACUGAGGCCCUAGCGUCUCCAGGGUGAAGGGACUCAAGCCUCCUCCAUCCGAAUAAUAGCAGUUGUUUUUUUAUUCUUUCUUCGGAAAAAUGAAGUAUAUUAUUUUUGACGUAUUUUUUAUUUCUACGGUUGAAUCACAGAGCACUAUUUAUAUACAACCGCGUGCUGGGAGCCAAAGUCCACGGCGCUGUUCGUACUUCAGUGCUGCUACUAUUUAUUUUUUUCCGUUCGAUUGGAUUUGAAGAUUUGUUUGAUUUCACGAGGACACAGCACAGACUGUGGGAGAUUCUACCUGUAAAUCGUAGUUUAGGUAAAGUAUCAAACAUUCAUCUCUUUGAAGAGUUUCCAAAAUGAGAACUUUUCAAAAUUGACAUCAUGGUAAAAUCUUGCGAUUUUGAACACCGAGUGAUCCAAUGCCUUCGGAAUCGGCCGACGAUUUCUGAUGGACGCACUUUGUAUUUAAAAGAAAUGGCUGCCGUUAUUUUAUUUUGUUCCCGAGAUUUACAAAACUUUCGGAGACAAACUCAUCAUGGAAGGUAGCCGAUAGCUGAACCCUAACGCACUGAAACGAGCGCCUGAUUAUGGUUCCUCACCGAAGCCGUCCAGUCUUCCCCCAAGACAGCCAAAUGCUGGUGUCCCUGUUUUGAUCUCCUUUUAUAUCCAUUCUAGUAUUUCAAUAUUUAAUCACGUAGGGCAAACCUCGACACGCAGGAUGAGAUUCCGUUUAUUUUAUUUCUAUCGGUGAUUCAAAUGCCCCGCAAAACGCGGGCAGUUAUUUUUUUACCUUUUUAGUUCGAGCAUGCACUUCUGCAAGUCCUUUCUGCUUUUUAAGUUCGCCAACCAAUCACGGUCUGUGUACGGAGACGGAGGUGCGGAGGCGGGCGAAAAACAAUGCUUGGUGCUUUGUUACCGUGAGGACGACACCUCUGACGCGAUGGAGAUAUCUAGUCUGCGCUGUUUGAAACUGUAAAAAGAAACAUAAAAAAAAAAAAAGCCCGGACAUGGAAAUGGUUAUUUAUGUAUGUACAGUUUGCUAAUGCUGAAAUCAUGAAGAAUGUUCUUUACAUAUAGUAAAAAAAUAUAUAAAAUACACGUUUUCAGACUUGUUUUUGGCUGAGGAGACUAUUUCGAAUGAGGUAG